GCAGGGUAUUGUGGGAAGGGCGGCCGGUGCAGCCGUAGCUGCCAUCUUAGGGUCGCCUUGCGCUGCGGGUUUCUCGUUGGAGGCGGCCUUCGUAGCGACUGUAGACGUCGGGAAAGGGCACAAAGUCCGCUGUCCAACAGCUUUCCUUCCUCUGGCCUCGGUGGGACCUCCAGCCCGCGUCCGAAGGCGGAGGCGAGGGGAACCGGCCGCGUGAGGGGCCUGAGGCCAGCGGUGGUUAGUCAGAGCGUCGCCCGGAAGGAUGGGCCGGUCUCGGAGCCGGAGCUCGUCCCGCUCCAAGCACACCAAAAGCAGCAAGCACAACAAGAAGCGCAGCCGGUCCCGGUCGCGAUCCCGGGACAAGGAGCGCGUACGGAAGCGCUCCAAAUCUCGGGAAAGUAAACGGAACCGGCGGCGGGAGUCGCGGUCCCGCUCGCGCUCCACCAACACGGCCGUGUCCCGGCGCGAGCGGGACCGGGAGCGCGCCUCGUCCCCGCCCGACCGCAUCGACAUCUUCGGGCGCACGGUGAGCAAGCGCAGCAGCCUGGAUGAGAAGCAGAAGCGAGAGGAGGAGGAGAAGAAAGCGGAGUUCGAGCGGCAGCGAAAAAUACGACAGCAGGAAAUAGAAGAAAAACUCAUCGAGGAAGAAACAGCACGAAGAGUGGAAGAAUUGGUGGCAAAAAGGGUGGAGGAAGAACUGGAGAAAAGGAAGGAUGAAAUUGAACGAGAAGUUCUCCGAAGGGUGGAGGAAGCCAAGCGCAUCAUGGAAAAGCAGUUGCUCGAAGAACUCGAGCGACAGAGACAAGCUGAGCUUGCAGCACAAAAAGCUAGAGAGGUAACGCUCGGUCGUUUGGAAAGUAGAGACAGUCCAUGGCAAAACUUUCAGUGUUGGGUUCUGCCUCCUGCUCAGUUCAGAAAGAGAUGGAAUACAGACUAUCUAAUUCCUUUCUCGUCUAAACUUAACAUUGCUGCGAAAGUUAAUUUUUUAGCCUAUUCAGAAGUGCUGACUGAUAACUUAAAAGUUGGAAGCUUUUAUAAAACAUAUUCAAGGAUACUUUUUGAUUUAAUGGAACUGGCUGUCUAUUUGAGAAGUGUUUGAAACUUUUGCCAUGGCUGCAGGACUUACAUUCUUUCUUGGGAGGACGGUGGGGAGACAGGGAGUGGUAAAGGGAAAAGGUUAAAAAUCCACCUGUGGAUGUAUAUUCUUCUAUUCUGUCACUCUGUUACCUAGACUGUGAGAGGCUUUUGCCUUCAGUCAGAUUAAAAAGAGCAGGGCCUAACAUUGAGUGAUAGCACCUGCUUUGAUAAAUAGGUUUUCUCACUCUUCUUUUUUUCCUUCUUUUAUCCCUCACUCCCUCCCCUAAAUCCUGCUUCAGCACAAUGGACUAAUUCUAGCAUUCUGAUCAUAAGGCCCUCCAUUUUCCUAAUGUGUUUCAAGGAAUCUUUUGAGGAAAAAUAUCCAGAUUAUUCAUCCACUUUUUUUAGUAUCUACUAACAACUCCUUUUUUUCUCUAGAGAGUUAUGAAGGAACAGGUUGUCCUUGUCUGGAGUCAAGCUAAACACAUGAUUUGUUUUAUCAGCAGCUGGAGCAGAAGUUGAAAAUGUCUUUCUGUGAGACAGUAAUUUGCUACUGAAGCUUUAUAGCUUGUUUGCACUGAUUACUCCAGGAUCCAAAAACUUGGUGAAAGUCACUGAAACACUCAAGGCAAAUUACUUUACACCCCUGAGUGUCUAUCACCAUGGUUUGCAUAAUGAAUAUGAAUUCCAUUGGUGUGUGACAUAGGAAAUCCUGUAGUUGUAUUUUCUUGAACUGAAAUAUUUGACUCAAAAUAAUGAUGACUCAUGGUCAUUUUUCAUCUUUGCAUUAUGGACAAUUGACAUACUAAAUCUCUUUGCUUUCUGAUAAGCUUAGCUUUUAAAACGCAUUUUCCUUUGUCCUGUCUUUAACUAGAUAUACAUGCUUAUAUUUAUAGCGGGUUUCACGGACUAUAAAAAUGAAUGUAUGAAAUUUUUAUUUAUAACAGUGCUUUUAACGAAGAUUUUUUGGAGUAAUGGUGCUGUCUUGUAGCGAGUUAUUAAUCAUAGUAAGAUUUUUUUCUCUUCAUUUGCUUUUUUGUUUCAUAUUAACAAUUUUUUUUUUACACGGACACAACCCUCUGACAGUCUUUCCAAAUAUUAAAAUCAUUUGAAUAUGUAUGCUGUGAUCUGAACACUGCCCAAACCAUCAAGCAGUCUUCAUACAGUUUGCAUUAUAAAAUCUCAUUAAAUUCUCCAAGAAAAAAUAAGUUGAAGAAUUUUAUUUCCUGACCAUGCAUCCCCUGGAUUUCUGAGUUUCAGUUCAGAUUGUAGAUGACAAUAUAAGCUGCCUUCCGAAAUUGUCAACAUCUGAAUGUUAAGUCCAUUUUCCCCAUGGAAGAAGCCCGUAGUUCCAUGAAGUAUGGAUUACCAUUUGUAUUUUUCACUAACAGUAAAUGUAUUUUUCUUAUUAAUUGUUUGCCUUAGGAAUGAUGAAUUACAUUUUUUGUUCCUUCUUACCAUAAACAUCUGCAUUCCUCAGCUCAGCCUUCCUUGUAUGUUGUUUCUUUAUAAAUGGUUGAGCUGCUGAUGCAGGUAUUGCCAAGCUAACAGUACAAAUCAUUUUAAAGAGGAAGCUGGCGCGUAUGGCAGCCGAGGAGCACACUCUGCAGGACACUGGACAAGACAGUAAAUAUUCAACUUUUAAUGCUGAUUAAAGGAGUAUAGGUAAAGAAUACGUAGGUAUACAUAAUUGGUGAGACAAAUAUUCACUUUAUUUAUAUUUUAUAUAUUAUUUUUUUAAUUUGGUAAAUACUAUCCAGUUUUGUAGUUGUCCUUGUUGAUUUGUGUGAUAUUAAAGUAUUAGUAAUAAUUGCCAGGAAACUAUCAUUAGGGAGGGUUUAGUUGGUUGCUGUUUGGACUGGGAGGGAUGAUUUAAAUUUAGUGCUAGAAACCAAUUUUAGUGGCUGCACAGUUUAUCAUUUAUCAGACAGAAGGUAGCUAUAAAGCUACCCCGUAAGUCAUAUCAAAAAAGUUCAGAGGAAGAUUAGUAAAUAUUUAUCAGUAAAAAUAAACAUUUUGUUUUUCUAACAUCUUAACAUAUCCUCCCCUUUAGGAGGAAGAACGUGCAAAACGUGAGGAACUAGAGCGAAUACUGGAAGAGAAUAACCGAAAAAUUGCAGAAGCACAAGCCAAACUGGCUGAAGAACAGUUGAGAAUUGUUGAAGAACAAAGAAAGAUUCAUGAGGAAAGGAUGAAACUAGAACAAGAACGACAACGUCAACAAAAAGAAGAACAAAAAAUUAUCCUGGGCAAGGGGAAGUCCAGGCCAAAACUGUCCUUCUCAUUAAAAACCCAGGAUUAAAUUGCAAACUCUGAACUUUUUACAAAGAAAAAUGGAAAAACUUUGUAUGGUAGCUUCAUGUUGAAGUGGUUUUUUUGGUUUUGUUUUUGUUUUUUUUUAAUUUGUAAAAUCCGGAAAGUUAGCUUGUUCUAAUAGGGGCUAUGCUCUGCAAUUCCCUUUUAUUAUUAUUUUUUCUUCCACUAAGUCAAAUCCUUAUCAGAUCAUUGUUGUCUUCUAAAGAGUGAUAUAUUUUUCACCUGUUUGGAUUCUAUAUUGGUGGUCUGAGGAAGAGCAGAUCACUUUGUAAAACUAUGGAUGGUCUGAUAAGGCUUUUACUGACCCCACUGACUUCAGAGUUAUACUCUGUUUGCUACAUCAUAAUGCUGGUUUUUCUGACUUUUUGUUUUUUUAUAUAUUUAUAAAAAAAGAAAAAGUUGGUAAUUGCAUUGGGAAAUUCCCAGGGUAUUACUGGACCUAUGUGGUGUAUUGUUAAACCAGUGUCCUUGUGAUACUGUUGCUCUUGAUGUUCCUGAUACAGGUAAGGAAACAGUUGGUCAACUCUGAUACAAAAUAUAUAUACAGUUCAGUAUUGUCUCUGUUCAGUUUGUUUUUAUUUCAUUGACAAAAUCAAACCAGCAUUCCCCAUUGUGUAAAUAAAUGAUUUUGCUGAAUAAAGUAAAGUCUUAAAUUCA